CACUGUAAAGCUAUCCAGCAUUAACCUUUUAAGUUAAAGAUUGAGAGCGCCCCCUCUCUACAGUGA
rnacentral:tRNA from 1 species